CACAUAACCUAAGAGCUGGACCCAGCUACAUAUCACAACCACCUUAGUGGGCAGGGCCAAAGCAUGAGAAGAGCCACAUCAUGUGUGAGAAUCACAACUUCAACAGUGAGCUGUGUUCAUGUGGAAAGAUGUCAAUCUUUACUGUUUGCUGGGUGUGCGUAUAAGUGUCACAAUGUCACCUGUGAUGGACCUCAUUAUAAAACUCUCUGUACCACCUGAGUUAAGACAUGUGUACAAGAAAAUCACCACCUGGUUGCUGAACUCAGAGGCAUGCCACAAUCUUCUGUGUGGGCAUGGUG
rnacentral:lncRNA from 1 species